UACGUAGGGGGCUAGCGUUGUCCGGAAUCAUUUGGCGUAAAGAGCGUGUAGGCGGCCCGGUAAGUCCGCUGUAAAAGUCAAAGGCUCAACCUUUGAAUGUCAGUGGAUACUGCCGGGCUAGAGUCCGGAAGAGGCGAGUGGAACUCCUGGUGUAGCGGUGGAAUGCGCAGAUAUCAGGAAGAACACCAACGGCGAAGGCAGCUCGCUGGGACGGUACUGACGCUGAGACGCGAAAGCGUGGGGAGCGAACAGG
rnacentral:rRNA from 1 species